rnacentral:rRNA from 1 species
GAUGAACGCUGACAGAAUGCUUAACACAUGCAAGUCCACUUGAAUUUGGGUUUUUAACUUAGGUUUGGGUGGCGGACGGGUGAGUAACGCGUAAAGAACUUGCCUCACAGCUAGGGACAACAUUUGGAAACGAAUGCUAAUACCUAAUAUUAUGAUAAUAGGGCAUCCUAGAAUUAUGAAAGCUAUAAGCGCUGUGAGAGAGCUUUGCGUCCCAUGAGCUAGUUGGAGAGGUAACGGAUCACAAAGGCGAUGAUGGGUAGCCGGACUGAGAGGGUGAUCGGCCACAAGGGGACUGAGACACGGCCCGUACUCCUACGGGAGGCAGCAGUGGGGAAUAUUGGACAAUGGACCGCGAGUCUGAUCCAGCUAUUCUGUGUGCACGAUGAAGUUUUUCGGAAUGUAAAGGGCUUUCAGUUGGGAAGAAAAAAAUGACGGUACCAACAGAAGAAGUGACGGCUAAAUACGUG